CUGGGGGGUAAGAACCAACAGGGAUUGCCCCAGUAACGGCGAGUGAAGCGGCAACAGCUCAAAUUUGAAAUCUGGCCCUCGGGUCCGAGUUGUAAUUUGCAGAGGAUGCUUCGGGCGAGGUGCCUUCCGAGUUCCCUGGAACGGGACGCCAUAGAGGGUGAGAGCCCCGUCUGGUCGGACACCGAGCCCGUGUGAAGCUCCUUCGAAGAGUCGAGUAGUUUGGGAAUGCUGCUCAAAAUGGGAGGUAUAUGUCUUCUAAAGCUAAAUAUUGGCCAGAGACCGAUAGCGCACAAGUAGAGUGAUCGAAAGAUGAAAAGCACUUUGAAAAGAGGGUUAAAAAGUACGUGAAAUUGUUGAAAGGGAAGCGCCCAUGACCAGACUUGGGCCCGGUGAAUCAUCCGGCGUUCUCGCCGGUGCACUUUGCCGGGCACAGGCCAGCAUCAGUCUGGCGCGGGGGAUAAAGGCUUCGGGAAUGUGGCUCCCUCGGGAGUGUUAUAGCCCGUUGCGCAAUACCCUGCGCCGGACUGAGGUACGCGCAUCGCAAGGAUGCUGGCGUAAUGGUCAUCAGCGACCCGUCUUGAAACACGGACCAAGGAGUCGUCUUCGUAUGCGAGUGUUCGGGUGUCAAACCCCUACGCGGAAUGAAAGUGAACGCAGGUGAGAGCUUCGGCGCAUCAUCGACCGAUCCUGAUGUUCUCGGAUGGAUUUGAGUAAGAGCAUACGGGGCCGGACCCGAAAGAAGGUGAACUAUGCCUGUAUAGGGUGAAGCCAGAGGAAACUCUGGUGGAAGCUCGCAGCGGUUCUGACGUGCGAAUCGAUCGUCAAAUAUGGGCAUGGGGGCGAAAGACUAAUCGAACCUUCUAGUAGCUGGUUUCCGCCGAAGUUUCCCUCAGGAUA
rnacentral:rRNA from 1 species